rnacentral:lncRNA from 1 species
AAGUGCAAGUUUAGAUGGUAUUUAUAGCAGUCAUUAGGUAAGAUUUGCCUUGGUCAGCAAGAUGGUAUUAUGAAAGAAUAUUCGCAUGGUGAUUUAAGAUUUGUUUUGGUAAAUUUUUAUUGAAAUUCGAGAUUUUAUCACUUUACACUAACAAAUAUAUAAUUUCCAUUUAUUGACGAUUUUACAUGCCUAACAAAAAAAAAAGAACAAAUAAUUUGGUUUGUAAAAAAUCUUCAAGUUCCUAAAUAUCUUAUAGAUAUAUUCUACACUAACAAAUAUAAAUUUAAAAUCGUCAAUAAAUGGAAGUUAUGUGUUUGUCGAGAUAUUCUAAAGGAUUAAUUUUUG